AACUAAAACUAUAAAUAUAUGAUACAAAGUUUAGCCAUAAAAUAUAAAUAUACCAGAUGUAAUUUUUCUAACACUAAAUGAAUAUUGUAGAAAUUUAAUGUAAUUAUGUUGUAUAUUGAAAUAAUGCCAUUCAUUAAAGCCUAAGGACCUUGAUAAAAAAAUUACAAAGAAAUAAGGUUUUAAUCAAUGGAAUAGAAAAAAGAGGGAUGAAAACCUAAUUUCUCCAUAUGUAGGGCAUAUUGACUUUUUUUUACGGUUGGUGGUUGUACUUACUGCGGUAGUGAGAAGCAUGGGCCGCAAUAAUUGUUUUCAAUUGCACGACUAUCCUAAUUGGUGGGAACCAUUAAAGCUUUAGAAACAACGGGAACGAGACGAGCAAGCUUAGCUUGGGCAAGCCAAUCUUGCCACCUUCGUAUCCCAACUAUCUUUGAUAUCUCAGGAUGAUCCUCCUCCUAUUUCGAGUUCUUCCGACAUGUCUCUGGAGUCCUCAGGAUAUUCUCACAAAAGAGAUAAUUGGUCGGUACUAAGAGGGGGGAUCUUUAUUUUGUGGAUGAUGUCAAUACAGGACGGGUCAAUCUUGCCCAAUGAGCCUUUGAUCACAAGCGAUGUCAGAUAUGGUUAUGGCAUCACCAUUUGGGUCGUCCAUCUUUUAGUUAUUUGCAGCAUAUGUUUCCGGAUUUAUUUGUUGGAUGUUUGAUUUUAGACUUAAAAUGUGACACUUGCAUACUUGCCAAGAGUUAUCUUGUUUCUUAUCCGUUGAAUUCUAAUAAAAGUAUUAUUCCUUUUGGUUUUGUUCA